CCUACGGGAGGCUGCAGUGAGGAAUAUUGGUCAAUGGCCGGAAGGCUGAACCCGCCAAGUCGCGUGAGGGACGACUGCCCUAUGGGUUGUAAGCCUCUUUUAUAAGGGAAGAAUAAAUGCUACGUGUAGCAUGAUGCCUGUACCUUAUGAAUAAGCAUCGGCUAACUCCGUGCCAGCAGCCGCGGUAAUACGGAGGAUGCGCGCUUUAUCCGGAUUUAUUGGGUUUAAAGGGUGCGUAGGCGGUUGUUUAAGUUAGUGGUUAACCGUCGGGGCUUCACCUUGAUUUGCCAUUAAUACUGUAAGACUCGAGUUCAGACGAGGUAGGCAGAAUACGAUAAGUAGCGGUGAAAUGCUUAGUUAUAA
rnacentral:rRNA from 1 species